rnacentral:rRNA from 1 species
AGAGUUUGAUCCUGGCUCAGGACGAACGCUGGCGGUGCGCCUAAUGCAUGCAAGUCGAACGGGCAAUGGGGCUUCGGCCCCGGCGCUAGUGGCAGACGGCUGAGUAACACGUAAGUGAUCUGCCCCGGAGAGGGGGAUAAUCCGGAGAAAUCCGGCCUAAUACCCCGUACGUUCAUAUGGUUACGGCCGUAUGAAGAAAGGUUUCGACCGCUCUGGGAGGAGCUUGCGGCCUAUCAGGUAGUUGGCGGGGUAAUGGCCCACCAAGCCUAAGACGGGUAACCGAUGUGAGAGCAUGAUCGGUCAGAGGGGGACUGAGACACGGCCCCCACUCCUACGGGAGGCAGCAGCAGGGAAUCUUGCGCAAUGGGCGAAAGCCUGACGCAGCGACACCGCGUGGGGGAAGAAGGCCUCAGGGUUGUAAACCCCUUUUCUGUGGGAAGAGAUAGGACGGUACCACAGGAAUAAGCAUCGGCUAACUACGUGCCAGCAGCCGCGGUAAUACGUAGGAUGCAAGCGUUGUCCGGAUUUACUGGGCGUAAAGGGUGUGUAGGCGGCAUGUUAAGUCUCAUGUGAAAUCUCCCGGCUCAACUGGGAGCGGUCAUGGGAAACUGGCAAGCUUGAGGGCAGCAGAGGAAAGCGGAAUUCCGGGAGUAGUGGUGGAAUGCGUAGAUACCCGGAGGAACACCAGAGGCGAAGGCGGCUUUCUGGGCUGUACCUGACGCUGAGACACGAAAGCGUGGGGAGCAAACCGGAUUAGAUACCCGGGUAGUCCACGCCCUAAACGAUGGAUACUAGAUAUAGGGGGUAUCGACCCCUCCUGUGUCGGAGCUAACGCGAUAAGUAUCCCGCCUGGGGAGUACGGCCGCAAGGCUAAAACUCAAAGGAAUUGACGGGUCCCCGCACAAGCGGCGGAGCGUGUGGUUUAAUUCGAUGAUAAGCGAAGAACCUUACCUGGGCUUGACAUGCGUCUGACAGCCCGUGAAAGCGGGUUUUCCUUCGGGACAGAUGCACAGAUGUUGCAUGGCUGUCGUCAGCUCGUG